rnacentral:tRNA from 1 species
GCCCCUGUAGCAUAGUUGGUUCAAUGCAGCUUCUUUGUAAGUAGCAGAUCGUGGGUUCAAAUCCCAUUUGGGGCU